UAAUCUGUCUAGGGCAUAUUCUCAUCUAGUUAUGACAGACUCACACCUGGUUGUCCAAAAUCACCUGUUAUUGCAAGCCCAACUACAUCAAACUACUUCUAGGCUUCACCAUCGGGAG
rfam:Populus trichocarpa isolate Nisqually-1 chromosome 7, whole genome shotgun sequence.